AUUUGGACCUCCCUGUGGUCUUCUUCCCCUUCCCCUUUGGUCCCUGUGUCUCUGUGUUUGAUCCAUGGCUUAAGCAGCUGUUCUGUCCCUGGGAUGGCUUGGUGUUAGUCAAGCCAUCAGUCAGGCUUUUAUCCCCUCUGAUGAAACUCCCUCUUAUGCUUUCUCUUUUAUCCUUGCAGUUCAAAUACUGGGCUUGGUGACCUCCUCGUGGGAUCCCGAAUGCCGUGUCCAGUGUGCCUCCCGGCCCCUGAGGACAACAACUAGGAGACAUUCAGGACUGUGGCUGGAACCAGCAGUGACACUGAGGCUCAGAGGUCUGUCAAGGAGCUUUACGCAGCCGUGGCUCAGAGAGAGGCAUCAGUGGAGAGAGUCUGUAGAUGCAGCCAGCAGCUGUCAUGUGGAGGGCAUUAAUAAUGUAUAUGCAGGUGAGCCGAGGGACUGAGCAGGGACAGGCAAACGCACGGAGGCACAGGGAGAUGGGGACCAGCGCCACGAUGGGCAGCAAAAAGAAAACGAGGAGAAGUACUAUAAAAAAUGAGAGGAAGGCUUGUCUCUAAGCCUGAGCAACUCCUCUGCACAGGUGCUUAGCUUCAUGACUCCCUCCUCAAGAUGCCAGAGACCUGGUGAUGUGGGACCAGCCUCAGCCACCAAGGCCUUGGUAGCAGCCCCUGGCUGCUGGCUGCUGAGUACCGUGGGCACCGAGGUCCGCUUUCUCCACAGACGCUUCCCUCCCGUCUCCGAGCCAUGAGGAGAAGGGAGAGGCAAGCAAAGCUGCCGAAGGAGCACUAGCCUACACCUUCCCAGCCCCUGUCCUGUUCCCCGCUUCCAGCAGACCAGGAACCCCU
rnacentral:lncRNA from 1 species